CCUACGGGCGGCAGCAGUGGGGAAUAUUGGGCAAUGGGCGCAAGCCUGACCCAGCAACGCCGCGUGAAGGAAGAAGGCUUUCGGGUUGUAAACUUCUUUUGUCAGGGAAGAGUAGAAGACGGUACCUGACGAAUAAGCCACGGCUAACUACGUGCCAGCAGCCGCGGUAAUACGUAGGUGGCAAGCGUUGUCCGGAUUUACUGGGUGUAAAGGGCGUGUAGCCGGGUUGACAAGUCAGAUGUGAAAUCCUGCGGCUUAACCGCAGAACUGCAUUUGAAACUGUUGAUCUGGAGUCCUGGGGAGGCAGACGGAAUUCCUAGUGUAGCGGUGAAAUGCGUAGAUAUUAGGAGGAACACCAGUGGCGAAGGCGGUCUGCUGGACAGCAACUGACGGUGAGGCGCGAAAGCGUGGGGAGCAAACAGGAUUAGAUACCCCUGUAGUC
rnacentral:rRNA from 1 species